rnacentral:rRNA from 1 species
GACGAACGCUGGCGGCGUGCUUAACACAUGCAAGUCGAACGAAGAGCGACGGAAGCUUGCUUCUAUCAAUCUUAGUGGCGAACGGGUGAGUAACGCGUAAUCAACCUGCCCUUCAGAGGGGGACAACAGUUGGAAACGACUGCUAAUACCGCAUACGAUCUAAUCUCGGCAUCGAGGAUGGAUGAAAGGUGGCCGCUACAUGUAAGCUAUCACUGAAGGAGGGGAUUGCGUCUGAUUAGCUAGUUGGAGGGGUAACGGCCCACCAAGGCGAUGAUCAGUAGCCGGUCUGAGAGGAUGAACGGCCACAUUGGGACUGAGACACGGCCCAGACUCCUACGGGAGGCAGCAGUGGGGAAUCUUCCGCAAUGGACGAAAGUCUGACGGAGCAACGCCGCGUGAGUGAUGACGGCCUUCGGGUUGUAAAGCUCUGUUAAUCGGGACGAAAGGCCUUCUUGCGAAUAGUGAGAAGGAUUGACGGUACCGGAAUAGAAAGCCACGGCUAACUACGUG